UUUUAAUAAUUGAACUAAACUGAAAAACCUUAGAAAGAACAGACAAAUUUACGAAAAUAAUUCAUUUUAGAUUUCGAGCAUAGCGAGGGAGCUAUUGGUUUUACAAUGCUGUUCUUUUUUUUUUGUUCUUUGUUCUAGUUUUCUCUAAUUUUUACAUGUAGUAACUUUUCUGAAAGCUCAAAUUGUCUAAAUUGUACUUUAAAGAGGUAAUUUUGAUUUUCGAGGCCAUUUUUUAAACUUUUAAACCACUUUAAAGCUUUUAAGGAAUUUUAAUUUUUGAGAGUUUUUUACUGUAAUUCGGUUGUAAAUACACGUAGAAACUUGAAACUUGGUAUUACUACUUAU